rnacentral:rRNA from 1 species
ACCCGGGGCGCCACCUCGGGCUUGCAGUGGGGACGGGCAGACUAGAGUGCGGUAGGGGAGAUUGGAAUUCCUGGUGUAGCGGUGGAAUGCGCAGAUAUCAGGAGGAACACCGAUGGCGAAGGCAGAUCUCUGGGCCGUAACUGACGCUGAGGAGCGAAAGCAUGGGGAGCAAACAG